rnacentral:rRNA from 1 species
GACGAACGCUGGCGGCGUGCUUAACACAUGCAAGUCGAACGGAAAGGCCCUGCUUUUGUGGGGUGCUCGAGUGGCGAACGGGUGAGUAACACGUGAGUAACCUGCCCUUGACUUUGGGAUAACUUCAGGAAACUGGGGCUAAUACCGGAUAGGAGCUCCUGCUGCAUGGUGGGGGUUGGAAAGUUUCGGCGGUUGGGGAUGGACUCGCGGCUUAUCAGCUUGUUGGUGGGGUAGUGGCUUACCAAGGCUUUGACGGGUAGCCGGCCUGAGAGGGUGACCGGCCACAUUGGGACUGAGAUACGGCCCAGACUCCUACGGGAGGCAGCAGUGGGGAAUAUUGCACAAUGGGCGGAAGCCUGAUGCAGCAACGCCGCGUGCGGGAUGACGGCCUUCGGGUUGUAAACCGCUUUCGCCUGUGACGAAGCGUGAGUGACGGUAAUGGGUAAAGAAGCACCGGCUAACUACGUGCCGGCAGCCGCGGUGAUACGUAGGGUGCGAGCGUUGUCCGGAUUUAUUGGGCGUAAAGGGCUCGUAGGUGGUUGAUCGCGUCGGAAGUGUAAUCUUGGGGCUUAACCCUGAGCGUGCUUUCGAUACGGGUUGACUUGAGGAAGGUAGGGGAGAAUGGAAUUCCUGGUGGAGCGGUGGAAUGCGCAGAUAUCAGGAGGAACACCAGUGGCGAAGGCGGUUCUCUGGGCCUUUCCUGACGCUGAGGAGCGAAAGCGUGGGGAGCGAACAGGCUUAGAUACCCUGGUAGUCCACGCUGUAAACGGUGGGUACUAGGUGUGGGGUCCAUUCCACGGGUUCCGUGCCGUAGCUAACGCUUUAAGUACCCCGCCUGGGGAGUACGGCCGCAAGGCUAAAACUCAAAGGAAUUGACGGGGCCCCGCACAAGCGGCGGAGCAUGCGGAUUAAUUCGAUGCAACGCGUAGAACCUUACCUGGGUUUGACAUGGAUCGGGAGUGCUCAGAGAUGGGUGUGCCUCUUUUGGGGUCGGUUCACAGGUGGUGCAUGGCUGUCGUCAGCCCGUGUCGUGAGAUGUUGGGUUAAGUCCCGCAACGAGCGCAACCCUUGUUCACUGUUGCCAGCACGUUAUGGUGGGGACUCAGUGGAGACCGCCGGGGUCAACUCGGAGGAAGGUGGGGAUGACGUCAAGUCAUCAUGCCCCUUAUGUCCAGGGCUUCACGCAUGCUACAAUGGCUGGUACAGAGAGUGGCGAGCCUGUGAGGGUGAGCGAAUCUCGGAAAGCCGGUCUCAGUUCGGAUUGGGGUCUGCAACUCGACCUCAUGAAGUCGGAGUCGCUAGUAAUCGCAGAUCAGCAACGCUGCGGUGAAUACGUUCCCGGG